UUCUUGUAGUCUUGUCUCUGUAUUCUGUAAGGCAUACGCGCAUAAUGGCCAUAGCCUAUUAUGUGCUAUUGUGUUUUCUAUAAGUGCUUUUGUCUUUUUAGUUUUUUCCGUUGUUUUUUUUUUCGGGAUUCAUCUUAAACAGUUCUAAGACAUUUUAGUCGAUCAAUCCGUAAUCAAUACCUUUAUAGUAUAUACGUAUUAUAGUAGGUAAAUAAAACGCGGCGCCGACCUCUGAAUUCCGAAUCUUCCGUUGGAAUACUUGAAAAUACGCUGGAAAAAUAUUGUUUAAUUUUAGUUUAAAAAUGCUCAAAAUAUUGAAUUUUGAUUUUUGAACGAUUGACGCGAAGUUCGUAAUGUUUGAAUUGCAUAUUCGCAUAGUGUGUAAGUGCAAUCCUCUAAUAGUUAAAGGUCAGGAUGAUACAUGGAAAUAAGAAAGCGGAAUCUGCAGCUUACGAGAUACACUUUCCAUAAAAAUAAUACAGUAUUCGGACUAUUGAUUCCCGACGGUUUUGUCAAUAUUGGCCUUUUUACUACUUAGCAUUAUUAAAAAAGGAUGAUCUUAUUAUAUAAUAUGAUAUUUUUUCACAUAAUAAUGAUGUAGAUGAUAUUUUCACAUCGAUGUAACAUGUUAAUACAAGUUAAUUAACAGUAAGCAAAUGAUGUAUGAUGUGCCGUCUUCAAAAAAGAGCCCAUUUAUGUGGAACGUGCACAAUGCCACAAUGCAACUAAAUUAGGAUUUAGUAAGACUGUUAGACUAAUAAUAUAUCAGAAAUUCAGUAGGUUGGAACAAUAAAUUCUAACAUUUAAUUAGAUUUAGACAUUCACAUAUGACAUAUAUGUAUAUAUAUUGAAGCUUUGCAGAUGAACUCCAUAACCUCAAUGGAUAUUUUAAAAUUAAACUGGUAGGUAGGUACUAGGUAUUCAAAUAAAUUGUAAAAAUAAAACAAAUGAAGAAAGGCUUAAACAUAAGUAGGUAUGUAACAUGUGUAAAACUUCUCAAUACAAAACAGAACUGAAAAUAUUAGUUAUUAAAAAAAACGUAUUGUAUGUAAUUAAACAUGAAUUUUGAAUAUUUUAUUUUUAUUUUUUAUUACCUAUUAUAUUUUAUGUUAUUAUGUUAUUAAUAAAUAUAUGUAUAUUAAUUAAUA